UACGAAGGGGGCUAGCGUUGUUCGGAAUUACUGGGCGUAAAGCGCACGUAGGCGGGCGAUUAAGUCAGGGGUGAAAUCCCGGAGCUCAACUCCGGAACUGCCUUUGAUACUGGUCGUCUAGAGAUCGGAAGAGGUGAGUGGAAUUCCCAGUGUAGAGGUGAAAUUCGUAGAUAUUGGGAAGAACACCGGUGGCGAAGGCGGCUCACUGGUCCGAUACUGACGCUGAGGUGCGAAAGCGUGGGGAGCGAACGGG
rnacentral:rRNA from 1 species